UUGCACGGGAUAGAGUGAGUGUGCUUCAGC
rnacentral:piRNA from 1 species